rnacentral:rRNA from 1 species
GGCCCCGCACAAGCAGUGGAUUAUGUGGUUUAAUUCGACGCAACGCGAAAACCUUACCGGGGUUUGACAUCCUGCUAACGAAGUAGAGAUACAUUAGGUACCUUUCGGGGGGAAGCAGAGACAGGUGGUGCAUGGUUGUCGUCAGCUCGUGUCGUGAGAUGUUGGGUUAAGUCCCGCAACGAGCGCAACCCUUAUUGUCAGUUGCUACGCAAGAGCACUCUGGCGAGACUGCCGUUGACAAAACGGAGGAAGGCGGGGACGACGUCAAAUCAUCAUGCCCCUUACAUCCCGGGCUACACACGUAAUACAAUGGCGCAUAAACAGAGGGAGGCAAAGUCGUAAGGCGGAGCGAAACCCAAAAAGGCGUCUCAGUUCGAAUCGAGGGCUGCAACCGCCCUCGUGAAGUCGGAAUUGCUAGUAAUCGCGGAUCAGCAUGCCG